GGGGCCUGGGUUGAGGGAGGGAGGGAUGGAGAGGGGGCCUGGGUUGAGGGGAAAAGAGGGGGCCUGCGCAGUGUAAUAAACCAAAAAACCUCUGGGCCAUCGAGACACAGCUCUCACCUAAGCUUCUGCCAUAUUGUAAUAGUGAGUUCUAACAAGCCUUUAAAUUAAACUCGUCGUAGUUAAACACUAAUAUCCAUCCCCCCUCCUCCUGUACUGCUGACCGGCAGCCAUUUUAAACACUAAUAUCCAUCCCCCCUCCUCCUGUACAGCUGACCGGCAGCCAUUUUGAAACUGGUCGUAGUUAAACACUAAUAUCCAUCCCCCCUCCUCCUGUACUGCUGACCGGCAGCCAUUUUGAAACACUAAUAUCCAUCCCCCCGCCUCCUGUACUGCUGACCGGCAGCCAUUUUAAACACUAAUAUCCAUCCCCCCUCCUCCUGUACUGCUGACCGGCAGCCAUUUUGAAACACUAAUAUCCAUCCCCCCGCCUCCUGUACUGCUGACCGGCAGCCAUUUUAAACACUAAUAUCCAUCCCCCUCCUCCUGUACUGCUGACCGGCAGCCAUUUUGAAACUCGUCGUAGUUAAACACUAAUAUCCAUCCCCCCUCCUCCUGUACUGCUGACCGGCAGCCAUUUUGAAACUCGUCGUAGUUAAACACUAAUAUCCAUCCCCCCUCCUCCUGUACUGCUGACCGGCAGCCAUUUUGAAACUCGUCGUAGUUAAACACUAAUAUCCAUCCCCCCUCCUCCUGUACUGCUGACCGGCAGCCAUUUUAAACACUAAUAUCCAUCCCCCCUCCUCCUGUACUGCUGACUGACAGCCAUUUUAAUGACAACCUUUCUUGGUAGAGCAGGGAGAAGUCUCCCUACCAGCGGACAGAUGUGGUUCUAUCUCUGUGGAUGUUUGUGUAAUAUUUGCUGUUAAAAAUGAAGGCUAUUUUGUAAAAGGGAAAAAGACUGGUUGUGUUGUCUGUUUUUUGUCUCCGGUGUUCAGUGUAUUUGCAGAUGCUAACGUUAAUAUAACAGUAUACAACAGGUUCAUGUUCAUUUAGCAAAGCCUGGGUUCCAUUGAAGGGAAGAGUCCCUGUUUGAUUCCACCAUUGUGAUUCUACUGGUCUCUAGUGGUUUCUAGUGGUUUCUAUGGGGUUCUAGUGGUCUCUAGUGGUUUCUAUGGGUCUCUAGUGGUUUAUAUGGGUUUCUACUGGUCUCUACUGGUCUCUAGUGGUUUCUAGUGGUUUCUAUGGGUUUCUAGUGGUCUCUAGUGGUUUCUAUGGGUUUCUAGUGGUUUCUAUGGGUUUCUAGUGGUCUCUAGUGGUUUAUAUGGGUUUCUACUGGUCUCUACUGGUCUCUAGUGGUUUCUACUGGUUUCUACUGGUCUCUAGUGGUUUCUAUGGGGUUCUAGUGGUCUCUACUGGUCUCUAGUGGUUUCUAUGGGUUUCUAGUGGUCUCUAGUGGUUUCUAUGGGUUUCUAGUGGUCUCUAGUGGUUUCUACGGGUCUCUAGUGGUCUCUAGUGGUUUAUAUGGGUUUCUACUGGUCUCUACUGGUCUCUAGUGGUUUAUAUGGGUUUCUACUGGUCUCUACUGGUCUCUAGUUGUUUCUACUGCUUUCUACUGGUCUCUAGUGGUCUCUAGUGGUUUCUACUGGUCUCUAGUGGUCUCUAGUGGUUUAUAUGGGUUUCUACUGGUCUCUACUGGUCUCUAGUGGUUUAUAUGGGUUUCUACUGGUCUCUACUGGUCUCUAGUGGUUUCUACUGGUUUCUACUGGUCUCUAGUGGUCUCUAAUGGAUGUCCACCUGAACAUUUUUCUGACACUGCAGUGUUGCACUUUCUUAUCUACAAAGUAGAUUAUUAUACGUUUGAUAAUCAAAUUAUUUCUGUAAUAAAAAUCCAACAACAAGAAACAUCUGAAUAUCUGUGUGUGGACAUUGUAACGUGUUUGUAGACGGUAAAGUUGUGAAGUAUGUUGGCUGUUGCAAAGUUAUGUAUUUUCUGAGAUCAUUGUCUUCAAAGGGGUAUGUAAAAAAAUAAAUAUAUAUAUUCACUGCGUUUCAUCUUCUUUCAGGAAAUGCCACUCGCGGCUUCCUGAAUUCUACAACGCAGCACAUUGUGUGCAGGUCAUAGGUACUCUAGGUUUGAUUGUAAACACACCUGUUGGACAGUCACAAUCCCUUUCUGUUGCUCGUCCCAUCUUUACUGAACUCAAUUGUGGCUAAAUAGUUUUUAUGAUGCUUGUGUUAACUGUACUCCAACUAUUGCCUCACUAGUACAGUUUAUAACGUAUCCUGCUCCAGUUAUGUGUAAAUAUAAAGUCACAUUAUUAUGAAGGAAAAUGAAUUGAAGGGCAUAUUGACUUCAUGUGUGUAGGAAUUUAUAUGAUUGAGUUGAUAUAUUAUUGUAAAAUGCUUUUCUGUUGGGAGGUGUACAGUAUACUGCAUGAUUAUAAACUAUCAAUAAUCUCUGUUGGGAGGUGUACAGUAUACUGCAUGAUUAUAAACUAUGAAUCUCUGUUGGGAGGCAUAUAUUGAAUAUAUCGUCACAGUCCUCAUGUUUUCUGCAGUGGGGGGGUACACCCCAAAUGGCCCCCUAUUCCCUAUAUAAUGAGCCCAUAGAGCGCUGGUUAGAAGUAGUUCACUCUACAGGGGAUAGGAGGCCAUUUUGGACGGACUCCUCGUUGUUGUUGUUCUCCUGUUGGUUUCCAUGGUUUCACUCUGUACCUCCUUUCUUACUGCCGGAUACAAAACAGCUGUGGGGACAAUGUCUUGCUGUUGAUCAAUGUACAGUCCGUUAUUUUAUCAUUGUGUAUGUAUGUUUGUCCUCGGUCAACUUAAAUCUCAAUAAACUAUGUGAAUAAACUG